GUUGCCUGGAGGCCAGAGGUGACCCUGACCUUGGAGUCGCGCCUACCUAAGGGUUGCGAAGCAGACAGGUUUCCUAAGCGGCAUCCAGAGCCCUGUCUGGAAGGUCCUUCCACAACACCAACUCCCGACGUUGGCCUUGGAAAUUCCCAGGGCAAUGGAACUCCCGCCUUCACCACUAACACAGAAAUUGCUCUGGCAAACGUCACCUAUUGCGGGGACUUCCCUGGUGGUCCAGUGAAUUCUUUUCCAAUAUAGGGUAUUACAAGACACUGAAUAUAGUUCCUUCUACUCUACACUCAGAUCCAGCUUAAUGGGCAUCAGAGGCAGGCCAGGCCAGGCUGAAAGAUGAGGCCACAUUGCAGCAGGACAGAGACUGUGACCGCGCUGUUGGCCCCGGAGAGGCAUGAGGACAGGGGACAUGGGUUCGAUCCCUGGUCCAGGAAGAUCCCACAUGCCGCGGAGCAACUAAGCCCGUGCGCCACAACUACUGAAGCCCCCGCGCCUAGAGCCCGUGCUCCACAACAAGAGAAACCACUGCAAUGAGAAGCCCGCGCACCGCAGUGAAGAGUAGCCCCCGCUCACUGCAACUAGAGAAAGCCCGUGCGCAGCAAUGAAGACCCAACA